GACAGGGGAUGCAAGCGUUAUCCGGAAUGAUUGGGCGUAAAGCGUCUGUAGGUGGCUUUUUAAGUCUGCCGUCAAAUCCCAGGGCUCAACCCUGGCCAGGCGGUGGAGACUACUAAGCUGGAGUACGGUAGGGGCAGAGGGAAUUUCCGGUGGAGCGGUGAAGUGCGUAGAUAUCGGAAGGAACACCAGUGGCGAAAGCGACUUCCUGGUCCAAUACUGACGUUCAUGUGCGAAAGCGUGGGGAGCAAACAGG
rnacentral:rRNA from 1 species